UGCGUAGGUGGUGGGGUAAGUCGGAUGUGAAAUCUCCGAGCUCAACUCGGAAAUGGCAUUGGAAACUACCCUGCUAGAGGGUCGGAGGGGGGACUGGAAUACUUGGUGUAGCAGUGAAAUGCGUAGAUAUCAAGUGGAACACCAGUGGCGAAGGCGAGUCCCUGGACGACUCCUGACACUGAGGCACGAAAGCUAGGGGAGCAAACA
rnacentral:rRNA from 1 species